ensembl:lncRNA
AUCCUCAGGGUGCCUUUUUCAGUCGCUGUGAUUUGGCUGGCAUUGGCCACAGCUCAUAAAACCAUUGACCUGAGUGUGUCUGGCAGGUCUUUGGAUGACAUCUGGUCCCAGCCCCUGCUCAAAGCAUGGCCAACAUAGUUCAAACAUCUCAGGGACUUGUCCAGCUGAGCCCCGAGUCUCUCUAAGGCUGCAGAUUAUGCAGCAUCUCUGCUCAGCCUGGUGCAGUUUGUGACCACCCUCACAAGGAGAGAACUUUUUCUAGGACCUCAUCAGAAUUUCCCUCUUGCAACCCACUUCUGUUGCCUCUCUUCCUGUCCCUGUGCACCUCCACUAUGACACCCCCUGUCCCCCUGCCAAAGGACUCCAACUCCUUGGCUUGUGCUUUUGAAGUUCUGGCCACUGAAAAUGCCAGCUGUCAAUGUGGUAUUUGCAAAGAACCAAGACAGGCUUCACUUUUUGCCUAUGAGACACAGCCCUGGCACAGGAAGUUCCUGAUUUGGAAGAAAGAAUUGGGCCCCUUUCAAGCAGACCUGGGUUGGAGACAUCCAGCUGGAGCCAUCCAAAACAGACCCACAGUGUGGGCCAGCAGCAGGGAUUGGCAGGUCUGUGUGCACUUCUUCACCUCUUAGUGCAGGUAACCUGUGAGUGCCCAUCUGGGGCUCCUUCACUGCACUGGGCUCCUCCACACAACCUAGGCCUGAGACACUUGUUCCUUCUGCACAGACUGUGUCUCAGGGAAGCCAGAUUGAUGAAUCAGUCUCCUUCAUGACUUACUCUUUCAUGGAGUAGAGGCAAAAAAAAGGAUGUUCCUCCCCAAAACAUCUGUGUCAGUCCCUUGAGCCAGCAGAGCUUUUGAUGUUGGGGUUGAGGUGGAAGCAGAGGGCUCACACUGUUCUUCACCUGUACGUGUUCCAGCUCUCUAGUCAUUAAAGCAGAAACUCAGCCUGUUUGCAGAUUCCUACGUCACCACUGGUUACUGACCUGGCAAACACAUCUUUGUGGUGACAUGACCGCUUGAUAUAAAGGUUCUUUCCUCAGGAGAUGGGAGAGAAGGGGGAAGAAUGCUGGAUCACAGCGGUCAGAGAGGUAAAAAGUGUCCAUGAUGCAAAGCCUUUUGUUGGUUUGUUUUCUUUUUGUGCAUAGAUUAAGUGAAGUCAAAACCUAACACUGGGCAGUGAGCAGAACAUCUAACGCAGUAGGUGGGCAGGCAACCCUUUCCAGGCUCACCACAUCUGCUCUGUGAGGAUCCCCAGAGCCCUACCAGGACUUGUCCUAAUCCUGUGCACACACUCUGCCAGAUUUUGCAGUCACUUCAUCUUUCUAGCAGGGUGGAUAACGAGGAUACUCCGCUCAGCUGCCUGCGUGGGGCUGCUUACGCAGAAAGGCGCUGCAGUUUUGGGAACUGAAGAUCACACCACCACAAUCUGUUCUCUGGUGGCGAUGUCCACCUUCUUCCAUUACCUCUGAACACAGGAUGAUGCUGUAGCCAGAAGCCCAGUGGCCUCAGAUCAGGCAGAAUGCACUGCCUGUGUUCCCAGCAGCUAGCACACGAUUCCAGAGCAGGUAGGGGAUUUCUUUGGAUCUGAGGCAUGGAGGUGUCAGAAGCAGCUGCACUGCUGUUAUCACCUC